GUCACACAGAAAGGAAGAUAUAAGAUGGAAAAUAACAGUGCUAUAUUCAGUGUGACCAUAAGGAAGCUAAAGAGGAAAGACGCUGGGAGAUACUUCUGUGAACUGCAGCAAAAUGGCUCCAUGCUGUCCCAGGAGGUCAUAGUAAGAGUUAUGGAGAGUUCUCCUGCUCCUCUUGGGUCAGUCCCUCACCAUCCCACUGUAGAGACUGCGGCGCUGUCCUGGGACUCUCUCUCAUCCAGCACUCUGCCAACUGCACCAGGUCUCACCCCACUGCCCACGUCAGGAGGCGCAGACAAAGAGCCGACCAGCAGUCUGACAGAUACCACGGUCGUUAUCAUUGUAUCGGUGAGCCUGGCGCUGCUUGUCUGUGCCAUCAUCCCACUGAUAUUCUACGGACACUGGCGCAGUUCUGGAGAAGAUCACAUUCUGAACACUGCUGGAGAGAACAAGCCUGGGGUGGAGUACAGUGAUGAACACACAGAUGUCCCAUUGGCACAAACUACAGUGGCUCUUCAGACUGACCCUGACACUGAGGCUCCGGACGCUGCUCAGUACGCCUCCAUCUACCAGGCCCUGGACCCACAAUCUCUGGACUGAAUCAGUGCUUUAGAAUGACAGAAACACAUAUUGGGUUAUUUUAU
ensembl:lncRNA